CCACGCUUUUUUUAAAAAAAACACAUUUGUUAUUACCAAAAAAGGUGUCUUUGGGUAAAAACAAUAAAAACCCAAUGCUGCAUAGCAAAUGCAGAUACUUCUAGUUAUUUGGUCAAUGGGCAAAAAGCAAGCAAUUAAGGUCUUCAGCUCCAAUCUUUUGUUCAUUUCUUAUUGCUGGGAUUUCAUAUUUAUUUCUUCUUGUUGGAUGACUCAACGGGAGAUUGGUGGAGAUGGUAAGCGGCCUGGGCUGAACCCCGAUCCGCCCAGCCUCGGAGCGGACAGAUUCCAGCUGGUGGACCGGCUGCUUCGUCUCUUUGCCGUCUUAGGGUUUUCUGGGUGUCUGUGUUGGUGAUUGCAGUUGUGGCAGCUGCUGACCUUGGGUCUCAUCUCCCCGAUUCUCUGCAUCCUCUUCCUUGCUGUUCUCUCUGGGCUGUCUUGGUGAGGAGGGUCCAUGCAGAAUCGUGGUCUGUAACCCCGACACAUAAUCUGUCCUACUGGUCUACCUUGUUCUCCUGCACUCUGGUUGUGAGCACCCUCCAUCACUCCUCCCUGCACAGGAGGGUGGGACACUGCGGUCAACGCCCAUAGGGUCUUGCCUGUACAAGGUGGGAGCCUUCGCCUGCGGUAGGGCCGGUUUGCUGGGCCUGGCCUUUGGGGACAGUCUCCACCCCUCGUUCUCUUCCCACCUCACUGUCCUGGCUGGGAACGGGAAAGGACCCCUGCCAUGCGGGUGGUCUGUAACGGUUGCCAUCUGCUGCAUUCUAACUGCCUUGAACUGGGACUCCACCAGGGCCUGUGCCAUUGGCUGCCACCACACCCGUUUCUCCUUCAGCAACGUCAAAUCCGUGGUGUCUCCAUCUCCUGCCCUGCAAGCAACCCUGUGAAGGAGGUGUCACAAACUCCCCUAUUGUACCAAUGAAGAACCAGCUUCUAGAAGAUCACCCCACCCAGCCAGUGAACAGCCGAGUGGGAUUUGAUCUCAAGUCUGACUGGCUCCCAAGCAGGCCUGUUAAACCCUUGCACUAAUGGGACCCAAGCGUGUGCUUACUGCCAAGCUCACUAGGAACCUGGAAUGACAUGGACCUGGCUGUGCGUGGCUCAGGAAGAAGAUUGCCAGGUGAGAGGGUAGGGCUGCAGGUGCACCUGUUGUCACCUCUUCACACUCAGCCUGGGCUCAGCGAGGCACUCAACGCAGGCUGUGGAAUCUGCCACAGGCUUUCGACCUCUUUUGCUGACUUCCACUUGCUUCUGUCCGGGAGGAUUUGCAGAGCCUCUGCCCAUCUUCGUAGGGAGCUGCUUGCCCAGAGCACGGACAGGGCACGGACAGGUGCCAGGGAUGCCUUCCCAGGCCCUCACUGCAGGCACUCCCUGGACAGCUGCACUGGCCUCAGCCUCCCUCUGCCCACGGGCCUCUCACUAGCAGCCAAUGCUCCACUAGCUUCCCCACUGUGGCCUCUGCCUCCACUCGUGCCCACGCCGGGCCCAAAGGGCGUGCAGAAGCCAGGCUGGCUCUCGGGGCAAGCAGGGCUGAGCUGCCCACCCACGUGGCCUGUGCA